AAGACCUGUUAGGAGUGGCUGAGGGAGCUGCGGGUGUUUAGCCUGGAGAAAAGGAGGCUCGGGGAGACCUUUAUUGCCCUCUACAACCACCUCACCAGAAAGAGAAGUAGGCAAGCAUAAAAUAGCAAGCACAGCUUCUGCUGAACAAGGGUGGUAGCAGACUACAAGGAAAGAGACAAUGUCUUCUGAAACAGUCCAACAGGGAAGUCAGACACCUCCAAUAAAGCAACGUGGAUGGCCAAUGAUAUUUUGUCCCCUCUCCCAAAUUCAAGACAAAGAGAUUGCAAAGAUCCUUAAAGAAUGCAAACAGGAAAGUUUCUGGUAUAGAGCUCUUCCUUUAUCUCUUGGGAGCAUGCUUGUCACCCAGGGGCUAAUCUCAAAAGGCAUUUUCUCAGCCAGCCCAAGAUUUGGUCCAUACCCCAAGAUGGCAAUUGCUGGUUUUUUGGGUUAUGCCAUUGGAAAGAUGUCAUACAUGGGAGAAUGCCAAAAAAAGUUUCAGAAAAUUGGUAUUGCACCAUUUGGUCCACAACAAAAAAGGAGAUGUCAUCAUGCUUGCAAAGAAUGUAAAGCAAAAUCAGGAUCGAAUGAGAGAGACGGUACAAUUCCUUCAACAUCUUAGUCCCAGCCUUCCUCUGUGAGCUGGCAAUAUUUUUUCUGGUGUGUGAGUACCAAUUAGCUUUUAAAUGAUAUCCAAAUUGUCACAAAUACAAAGGAGCCAUGCAGCUUUUUGAGGGGAAGAACACAGGAGGCCACAGACCCCUCUCCUUGUUUUCUCUCCUUGUUUUCUCUCCUUGUUUUCUCUCCUUGUUUUCUUCCUGUAAGGGGUCGUGAAAUUUCUGCUGUGGAACCUGUUCCCUGCUUCAGCUCGUAUGUUCAUCAGAGACCUUGAGUGCUGCACAUUUUCCAGCAGCUUAGGUCUUCUUAUUUGGUUGUUAAAAGGGCUUGAAAGCUUAGUCAGAAACUUGGUUUGAAAACAAAUGUAAGAUGUGGUGAACAUGAUAAAAACCUUAUGGACCAUCUUCUUUCAAGGCACUUUCCUGAAGAAUAGAAAUAAUAAUUUUGUGAUUCUC